AUGGCCACGCUGUCUGAUGAGGAUAAAGAUGUUAUGAAAAAAUGGGGCGCUCCAAACAAGAUUGACUUCCUCUCUCUUUCUUAUACAAGGCAUGCAGAAGAUGUGCAGCAAGCACGGGAGAUCCUCUCUAAAGCACCAGCAGCAGCCAAGAAGAUUGAAGAAUCCAAUGAAAGUUCUGAUUCUGAAAGCUCUGACUCUGAGAAGCCAGCUACUGAAGUGAAGAAUUCUGCGGUUGCUACUGCACAAAAGAAAAACCAGGAAUUGGACGGCUCUGACAGUGAUUCUGAUGAUUCAUCAGAAGAUAUGGCCACUAAAAAACCAGUGGCCAAGAAAGUGGUAGAAUCCAGUGAAAGUUCUGAUUCUGACUCUGAGGAGGAUACCACUGCUAAACCAGUUCAAUCUUCCAAGGCUGUUGCUGUUAAAAAGAAAUAA
rnacentral:rRNA from 1 species